rnacentral:rRNA from 1 species
AUUGAACGCUGGCGGCAGGCUUAACACAUGCAAGUCGAACGAGUGGCGGACGGGUGAGUAAUGUCUGGGAAUCUGCCUGAUGGAGGGGGAUAACUACGGGAAACUGUCGCUAAUACCGCGUACCAUCGGAUGUGCCCAAAUGGGAUUAGCUAGUUGGUGGGGUAAUGGCUCACCUAGCCGACGAUCUCUAGCUGGUCUGAGAGGAUGACCAGCAAAACUGGAAAUGAGACACGGCCCAGACGCAUACGGGAGGCAGAAGGGGGGAAUAUUGCACAAGGGGGGCAAGCCUGACGCAGCCAUGCCGCGUGAAUGAAGAAGGCCUUCGGGUGGUAAAGUACUUUCAGUGAGGAGGCGUUACUCGCAGAAGAAGCACCGGCUAACUCCGUGCCAGCAGCCGCGGUAAUAC